AGAAAGGAUUAUAUGAAACUGAGAUACCAUGUCAUUUGUAUCCAUUUUCAAUAAUUUAAUGUCAUUUUAGCAUUUUCAUCUUAAAUUUCAGCACAUUAUGUUGGAUUUGGUUAUUUUUAAGAUGAAAAAUGCUAAAAUGAUUUUAAAUUAUUGAAAAGAGAUACAAUGACAUGGUAUCCCAGUUUCUUACAAUCUUUUCUC
rnacentral:pre_miRNA from 1 species